ensembl:lncRNA
GGGUACAUGACACAAAGUGAAGUGAAAUUUGGGGCAAUUAUCCAGUGAGACUUUGAUAUAGGUAUUCAAAGUGGGCAAUUCCAGUCUCACCUUGAUUUUUCCAUCUUUAUUUUGAAGGCCUGCUGCUGCUGCUGCUGCUAAGUCACUUCAGUCAUGUUCGACUCUGUGCGAUCCCAUAGACAGCAGCCCACCACGCUCCCCCAUCCCUGGGAUUCUCCAGGCAAGAACACUGGAGAGCUAAGAAGUGAAAGCUUGAACUUGACUAUCAAGGAACACACCAGUUGUUAAUGGGGCCCCCAGGAGGAAGUCAACAAGCUCCACCACAUCUAACAAUACCUACUGAUGGCAGCCUUUCCCCCAGUCAAGCAGCUCUACACCUAGCUCUCCUGCUUUCCACCUGGGGGUGCAGGGGGAUGAGUGGACACCAAGAGGAAAUUAUUUCACUUCCUUCCCAGAGGAUUGACACAUAUGUACUUCAUGCCUUUGAUCUCAUUAUUACCAUUACUGGGACUUGUCUUUGGAAGCACCCAGCUGACGUGACCUUGGAAGACACUGGCAAAGAAAGCACGGAAUAGGAGAACACUCUAGGUUCCUUGUAAACAUUAAAGAGUCUAAAAUGAAGAGAAACUAAAAAGCCUCUUGAUGAAAGUGACAGAGGAGAGUGAAAAAGUUGGCUUAAAGCUCAACAUUCAGAAAACGAAGAUCAUGGCAUCUGGUCCCAUCACUUCAUGGGAAAUAGAUGGGGAA